GCUUCCUGCUUUUCUGCGUUCUUUGCGUGCUUCGCUGUGACAUCUUUCGAAUAUUCCUGCGUGUUGCUCGCCUUUUAUGGGCUUGUUGCCUCGAAGAUCGCCAUGAUCGCCUCCGACUCAGCGACAUCAAAGAUUCAAAGUGAGCUGGGAGACGCCCCAGCUGGAACGCUAAAGGUUCACAUAGGUUGAAGGAGUGCACAUUGAGAAGGUUAUCCUGGCACAGCUUACCAUGGCCUGCCAUGGUGGACCAGGAAAGUUUGCAAGGGCCUUGCUUCACCAUGUGUUCACAGAGGAGGAGCUCAUGGGCCAUUUGGCCUUUGGAAAUAACACCAAGGGGCAAAAAAGGCUCUUGACCCCACCAGGGUCAGUGCUGUUAUAGGCUUCACGUGUCACAAGUUUCCUGGUACCAACAUGCCCUAUGUAAAGAACUCUGGCCUCGCUUCUCGCAUGGGACCAAUAGCCUCUCAAGAGCCCAAGUUGGACAGCUCAAACCAAAACACAAGUGUUGUGCUUUUGCGAUCUGGGAGCAUGCUUUUGAGCCCAGGGUGGCAGAGGCCUGCGAUACAAAACCCCUGUAUUUAAAUUUUAUCCCUGCCCUCUCACAGCAAACAUACCAACGUGACAUCAAAGGUAAUUAUAUGCAACAUAGCUCAGCAGUAUUUUAAGGAAAGUGCAGGUUUAAACUGCUAAAUACCCAGUGGGGCAUAAAGGGCUUUCAACAUAAUUUGUGUUGAUGUUCAACAGAUCUGCAACAAUUCUUCCAUGGGCUUUCAAUAUUAAUGAACAACACAUUUCAACAACACAUCAAUGGGCUUUCAAUUUUGAGACAACACAUCUUCAACAAUGCUUCAAUGGGCUUUCAACAUUGACAAACAACACAUUUCAACAAUACGUCAAUGGGCUUUCAAGUUUGAGCUUCAACAAUGCUUCAAUGGGCUUUCAACAUUGACAAACGACACAUUUCAACAAUACGUCAAUUGGCUUUCAAUAUUGACAGACAACACAUCUUCAACAAUGCUUCAAUGGGCUUUCAACAUUGAAAUACACCAUAGUUUCAACGAUAUGCCUACGAUCUUUCAAAUUGAGAGGCCACAAUGAUGUUUCGACAGAAUGUCGCGGGCCAAUUAUCAACACUUGUCAACAAUUUCCUCAAUGCUGUUUCAACAAUUCCCCAAUGAUCUUUCAAGGUCAUUUGUUGACGUUGAACAAUGAUAUUUCAAUAACCUUUCAACAAUUUUUUUU